CGCUUCACUCCUACGGGAGGCAGCAGUAGGGAAUCUUCCACAAUGGGCGCAAGCCUGAUGGAGCAACACCGCGUGAGUGAAGAAGGGUUUCGGCUCGUAAAGCUCUGUUGUUAAAGAAGAACACGUAUGAGAGUAACUGUUCAUACGUUGACGGUAUUUAACCAGAAAGUCACGGCUAACUACGUGCCAGCAGCCGCGGUAAUACGUAGGUGGCAAGCGUUAUCCGGAUUUAUUGGGCGUAAAGAGAGUGCAGGCGGUUUUCUAAGUCUGAUGUGAAAGCCUUCGGCUUAACCGGAGAAGUGCAUCGGAAACUGGAUAACUUGAGUGCAGAAGAGGGUAGUGGAACUCCAUGUGUAGCGGUGGAAUGCGUAGAUAUAUGGAAGAACACCAGUGGCGAAGGCGGCUACCUGGUCUGCAACUGACGCUGAGACUCGAAAGCAUGGGUAGCGAACAGGAUUAGAUACCCUGGUAG
rnacentral:rRNA from 1 species